CGAAACUUGAAGUUAUGGGUCGACAAGUUCAUUGCCAUCUUCAGGUUCAAGUGGAAGCACAGAGUUUCCUCGAGCUUCAAAGACAUCUCAGUGUUUGCUGAGUUCCAUUGCAUUACAAAUGUGAAGCUACGUAAUCAGUUCUACUGUGAGGUUGACGGAUACACACCUCAACCGACUGUACAGAGAGAAGGCCUCACGGACAGGCAAGGUAAAUAUUUCUAUAAUGAUUAUUAUGUUUUGGUUGUCAAUCUAGGAACAACAUGA
rnacentral:lncRNA from 15 species